rnacentral:rRNA from 1 species
CCUACGGGAGGCAGCAGUGGGGGAUAUUGCACAAUGGGGGGAACCCUGAUGCAGCGACGCCGCGUGGGUGAAGAAGCGCCUCGGCGCGUACAGCCCUGUCAGCAGGGAAGAAAAUGACGGUACCUGAAGAAGAAGCCCCGGCUAACUACGUGCCAGCAGCCGCGGUAAUACGUAGGGGGCAAGCGUUAUCCGGAGUUACUGGGUGUAAAGGGGGCGCAGACGGCGAUGCAAGCCAGGGGUGAAAGCCCGGGGACCAACCCCGGGACUGCUCUUGGAACUGCGUGGCUGGAGUGCAGGAGGGGAAGGCGGAAUUCCUGGUGUAGCGGUGAAAUGCGUAGAUAUCAGGAGGAACACCGGUGGCGAAGGCGGCCUGCUGGACUGCAACUGACGUUGAGGCCCGAAAGCGUGGGGAGCAAACAGGAUUAGAUACCCUUGUAGUC